CACGGCCAAGCACGCACCUCGUGACACACAUGCACAGUGCUCUGUGCGGCCUCCGCUGGCGCAGAACCGUGCAAAGUCACGGUCUGCAGAACGUGGGGCGGGGGGCGUGAGCGCGUGGGCGACAGGGCCCGACCGGCGCCAUCUUAUGAUUUCCUCACGGACGGAGCUGCGGACCUGGCGCUCACACAGAGCGAGCCGCAAGAAGUCCAACGGCUGGGCACGCCGCCUCUGUUCACUCACCCUAGCGUACCUGGAGUGUAUCUCUGUACCUGGAGUGUACCUGGAGUGUACCUGGAGUGUAUCUCCUUGGCUUGUGAACAACUCAGAGGAAGGGAAUGCGAGAGGAAUCCCAGCUGAGAAGAGUGUGUGCGUAACAUGA
rnacentral:lncRNA from 1 species